rnacentral:rRNA from 1 species
CUAAGCCAUGCGAGUCGAACGAGUUUAGGCUCGUGGCGUACGGCUCAGUAACACGUGGAUAACCUACCCUUAGGACCGGGAUAACCUUGGGAAACUGAGGACAAUACUAGAUAGGCAAUUUUUCCUGUAAUGGUUUUUUGUUUAAAUGUUUUUUCGCCUAAGGAUGGGUCUGCGGCCGAUUAGGUAGUUGGUUAGGUAAUGGCUUACCAAGCCGUUGAUCGGUACGGGUUGUGAGAGCAAGAGCCCGGAGAUGGAACCUGAGACAAGGUUCCAGGCCCUACGGGGUGCAGCAGGCGCGAAACCUCCGCAAUGUGAGAAAUCGCGACGGGGGGAUCCCAAGUGCCAUUCUUAACGGGAUGGCUUUUCAUUAGUGUAAAAAGCUUUUGGAAUAAGAGCUGGGCAAGACCGGUGCCAGCCGCCGCGGUAACACCGGCAGCUCUAGUGGUAGCAAUUUUUAUUGGGCCUAAAGCGUCCGUAGCCGGUUUAAUAAGUCUCUGGUGAAAUCCUGUAGCUUAACUGUGGGAAUUGCUGGAGAUACUAUUAGACUUGAGACCGGGAGAGGUUAGAGGUACUCCCAGGGUAGAGGUGAAAUUCUGUAAUCCUGGGAGGACCGCCUGUUGCGAAGGCGUCUAACUGGAACGGUUCUGACGGUGAGGGACGAAAGUUAGGGGCGCGAACCGGAUUAGAUACCCGGGUAGUCCUAACUGUAAACGAUGCGGACUUGGUGUUGGGGUGGCUUUGAGCUGCUCCAGUGCCGAAGGGAAGCUGUUAAGUCCGCCGCCUGGGAAGUACGGUCGCAAGACUGAAACUUAAAGGAAUUGGCGGGGGAGCACCACAACGCGUGGAGCCUGCGGUUUAAUUGGAUUCAACGCCGGACAUCUCACCAGAGGCGACAGCUGUAUGAUAGCCAGGUUGAUGACUUUGCUUGACUAGCUGAGAGGAGGUGCAUGGCC